rfam:Heligmosomoides polygyrus genome assembly, scaffold: HPBE_scaffold0002541
GCGCCGGUGGUGUAAGGCUAACAUCGCUGCCCGGAAAGCAGAAGAUGCGGGUUCGAGUCCCGCCUGGCGCA